AUUGGUGAUUAUAGCUACGUGUAGAGCACCUCUUCCCAUUCCGAACAGAGAAGUGAAGAACGUAAACGCCGAUGGUACUUUGAAAAAGGGAGAGUAGGAAAUCGCCUCAG
rnacentral:rRNA from 1 species